AGUUUGAUCCUGGCUCAGAGCGAACGCUGGCGGCGUACUUAACACAUGCAAGUCGAACGAGGAGCCUCGGUGUAGCAAUACAUCGGAGCUUCGAGUGGCGCACGGGUGAGUAACACGUGGGCAACCUGCCCUCGAGACCGGGAUACCCCCUCGAAAGGGGGGCUAAUACUGGAUACGCUCCUCGGGUCGCGAGACCUGGGGAGGAAAGGUGGCGCAAGCUGCCGCUCUUGGAGGGGCUCGCGGCCUAUCAGCUAGUUGGUGAGGUCACGGCUCACCAAGGCGAUGACGGGUAGCUGGUCUGAGAGGACGACCAGCCACACGGGGACUGAGACACGGCCCCGACUCCUACGGGAGGCAGCAGUGGGGAAUUUUCCGCAAUGGGCGAAAGCCUGACGGAGUGACGCCGCGUGGGGGACGAAGGCCUUCGGGUCGUAAACCCCUGUCAGAGGGAAAGAAGGGUCAUGCGGUGAACAGCCGUGUGACCUGACGGUACCUUCAGAGGAAGCCCCGGCCAACUCUGUGCCAGCAGCCGCGGUAAGACAGAGGGGGCAAGCGUUGCUCGGAAUCACUGGGCGUAAAGGGCGCGUAGGCGGGAUGGCAAGUCGGUCGUGAAAUCCCUCGGCUCAACUGAGGAGCGUCGGCCGAUACUGCCGUUCUUGAGGGAUGCAGAGGAGACUGGAAUUCCCGGUGUAGCGGUGAAAUGUGUAGAGAUCGGGAGGAACACCGGUGGCGAAGGCGGGUCUCUGGGCAUCUCCUGACGCUGAGGCGCGAAAGCGUGGGGAGCAAACGGGAUUAGAUACCCCGGUAGUCCACGCUGUAAACGAUGACGACUAGGUGUGGGGUGGUUCAGUCCAUUCCGUGCCGCAGCUAACGCAUUAAGUCGUCC
rnacentral:rRNA from 1 species